CCUACGGGAGGCAGCAGUGGGGAAUAUUGCACAAUGGGGGGAACCCUGAUGCAGCAAUGCCGCGUGGGUGAAGAAGGACUCCGGAGCGUAAAGCCCUGUCAGCAGGGAAGAAAAUGACAGUAACUGGACAAGAAGCCCCGGCUAACUACGUGCCAGCAGCCGCGGUAAUACGAAGGGGGCAAGCGUUAUCCGGAUUGACUGGGUGAACAGGGAGCGGAGGCGGCGUGGCAAGUCUGAUGUGAAAACCCGGGGCCCAACCCCGGGAGUGCAUUUGAAACUGCCAUGCUGUAGUGCCGGAGAGGUAAGCGGAAUUCCUUGUGUAGCGGUGAACUGCGUAGAUAUUAGGAGGAACACCAGUGGCGAAGGCGGCUUACUGGACUGUAACUGACGCUGAGGCUCGAAAGCGUGGGGAGCAAACAGGAUUAGAUACCCUUGUAGUC
rnacentral:rRNA from 1 species